rnacentral:rRNA from 1 species
AGGACGAACGCUGGCGGCGUGCCUAACACAUGCAAGUCGAACGGUGAACCGGGCUUCGGCCCGGGGAUCAGUGGCGAACGGGUGCGUAACACGUGAGCAAUCUGCCCUUGACUCUGGGAUAACUUCGGGAAACCGGAGCUAAUACCGGAUAUGACGCAUGGCCGCAUGGUCUGUGUGUGGAAAGAUUUAUUGGUCAGGGAUGAGCUCGCGGCCUAUCAGCUUGUUGGUGGGGUAAUGGCCUACCAAGGCGACGACGGGUA